UGGAGGCGGGGUCGGGGAAUGUAUUUCUCAUCUUCGCCUCCGCCCCGUAAAACUUUUUUUUCUUAUAUUUAUUAUAAUAAAUUUAUUGUUAUGUUAUUUAUUUUAUUAUAUAAAUAUUAUAUUUAACUAUGUUUUUUUUUUCCUAAAAAGAGGAUCAAAUGGGAGAAAAAUUGUCUGCAAAUGGUCCGAUCACCGCAAAUUUUCUGUAGUAAAUCCCUGGGCGAUCCCGUGAGAAUUUGACGGGCAGUAACGAAAUGGGGAGUGAGGAGUGGGUAGGCCGGCCGCCCCAUGCAGAAUAGUGGUUGUUCAGUAAUGUUGUUCCUACCCCACUCCCAAACUCCGAAUUCAAUCAUUCGUGGUGAUUUUCCGCCAAGGAAGAAUUGUUACUCUUUAUUUCUCUCUCAAUCGGAGUCUCUCAACAGCGGAUUCAAUCGUAGGCUCCAUACGAUCUGUAGCUUCCAAGUGUUGAAUGACGCUGUUGUCGGCGUCGUCACCGCCAUGCUCAAUAACCAGUGUUCCAAUUAAGAGAAAGUUUGUUGAUUGUAUCUUUAUUAGCUUCCCGUGAAUCUUUCUUAGACCAUCGCUUCAAGCCUUCUCUUACACCUCUUAUCUCAGUUCAGGCUCUAUCGACAUGCCGUUCCAUAUCGGCUUUUGGCUUCACUCAUUUAGUCUUCACGAGGUGUAGUGUCUCUGGAUGAAGGAGAAGCUGAAAGACUAGGAAAGGAGAAAGCAUUUGCAUUCUACAUUGAAGCACAAGAUUCUUUUCCUGAAUCAUGGAAGAUCAUCAAGGCAAGAGGAGCUCCAAACCAUCCAUUAUCAACGGCCUAAACGCUUCAGUUCAGCCGAUCAUCAUUCAGAUGGACAAUCACUUGGUUAUUGGGGAAUCGGACAUUAUCACCAGGAAACAAACUGUAAAAGUCCGAUAAUCCUCGAGCGUUACACUAUUAUGAAUCACUAUGCUAGCCACACUUUUGGAAGUAGCAACUUUAGCCAUGUAAAACUCUUAAGUUUGAGAGAAUCUGAAUUGUUAAUUGCAUUUUAAAAGAUAUAUAUACAAGUGUACAAGAGUGACCUAAGUAGGAAUGCGUCAAAAAGACAAUAAAGGACAAUUUAAUAAAGAUAUUUACAAUGAUAAAAUAA